GACGAACGCUGGCGGCGUGCUUAACACAUGCAAGUCGAACGGAAAGGCCCUGCUUUUGUGGGGUGCUCGAGUGGCGAACGGGUGAGUAACACGUGAGUAACCUGCCCUUGACUUUGGGAUAACUCCAGGAAACUGGGGCUAAUACCGGAUAUGAGCUCCUGCUGCAUGGUGGGGGUUGGAAAGUUUCGGCGGUUGGGGAUGGACUCGCGGCUUAUCAGCUUGUUGGUGGGGUAGUGGCUUACCAAGGCUUUGACGGGUAGCCGGCCUGAGAGGGUGACCGGCCACAUUGGGACUGAGAUACGGCGCAGACUCCUACGGGAGGCAGCAGUGGGGAAUAUUGCACAAUGGGCGGAAGCCUGAUGCAGCAACGCCGCGUGCGGGAUGACGGCCUUCGAGUUGUAAACCGCUUUCGCCUGUGACGAAGCGUGAGUGACGGUAAUGGGUAAAGAAGCACCGGCUAACUACGUG
rnacentral:rRNA from 1 species